GCGGAUACGUGGCGGCGUGCCUAACACAUGCAAGUCGAGCGGGGACUUGGGAGCUUGCUUCCAAGUUCUAGCGGCGGACGGGUGAGUAACGCGUGAGCAACCUGCCUCAAACAGGGGGAUAACGCAUCGAAAGAUGUGCUAAUACCGCGUAAGACCACAGUGCCACAUGGCACAGGGGUCAAAGGAGCAAUCCGGUUUGAGAUGGGCUCGGCGUCCGAUUAGCUAGUUGGUGAGAUAACGGCCCACCAAGGCGACGAUUUCGGUAGCCGACCUGAGAGGGUGAUCGGCCACAUUGGAACUGAGAAACGGUCCAGACUCCUACGGGAGGCAGCAGUGGCGAAUAUUGGGCAGUGCGCGAAAGCCUGACCCAGCAACGCCGCGUGAGGCGUAGAUGGCUUCGGCCUCGUAAUCCUCUGUCCUAUGGGACGAAGGAAGUGACGGUACCAUAGGAGGAAGCCCCGGUAACUACGUGCCAGCAGCCGCGGUAAUUACGUAGGGGGCGAGCGUUGUCCGGAAUGAUUGGGCGUAAAGGGCGCGUACAGGCGGCCUGCUAAGUCUGGAGUGAAGUCCUGCUUUCAAGGUGGGAAUUGCUCGUGAUACUGGUGGCGGCUGAGUGCAGGAGAGGAAAGCGGAAUUACCGGUGUAGCGGUAUGCGUAGAGAUCGUAGGAACACCAGUGGCCGAAGGCGGCUUUCUGGACUGAAACUGACGCUGAGCGCCUGAUAUGCG
rnacentral:rRNA from 1 species